AGAGUUUGAUCAUGGCUCAGGACGAACGCUGGCGGCGUGCUUAACACAUGCAAGUCGAACGGAAAGGCCCUUCGGGGUACUCGAGUGGCGAACGGGUGGGUAACACGUGGGUGAUCUGCCCUGCACUUUGGGAUAAGCCUGGGAAACUGGGUCUAAUACCGAAUAUGACCAUGCACUUCCUGGUGUGUGGUGGAAAGCUUUUGCGGUGUGGGAUGGGCCCGCGGCCUAUCAGCCUGUUGGUGGGGUAAUGGCCUACCAAGGCGACGACGGGUAGCCGGCCUGAGAGGGUGACCGGCCACACUGGGACUGAGAUACGGCCCAGACUCCUACGGGAGGCAGCAGUGGGGAAUAUUGCACAAUGGGCGCAAGCCUGAUGCAGCGACGCCGCGUGAGGGAUGACGGCCUUCGGGUUGUAAACCUCUUUCAGCACAGACGAAGCGCAGGUGACGGUAUGUGCAGAAGAAGGACCGGCCAACUACGUGCCAGCAGCCGCGGUAAUACGUAGGGUCCGAGCGUUGUCCGGAAUUACUGGGCGUAAAGAGCUCGUAGGUGGUUUGUCGCGUUGUUCGUGAAAACUCACAGCUUAACUGUGGGCGUGCGGGCGAUACGGGCAGACUUGAGUACUGCAGGGGAGACUGGAAUUCCUGGUGUAGCGGUGGAAUGCGCAGAUAUCAGGAGGAACACCGGUGGCGAAGGCGGGUCUCUGGGCAGUAACUGACGCUGAGGAGCGAAAGCGUGGGGAGCGAACAGGAUUAGAUACCCUGGUAGUCC
rnacentral:rRNA from 1 species